rnacentral:rRNA from 1 species
AUGAACGCUAGCUACAGGCUUAACACAUGCAAGUCGAGGGGUAGCAGGGUAGCAAUACCGCUGACGACCGGCGCACGGGUGAGUAACACGUAUCCAACCUACCAUUCACACGGGGAUAGCCUUUCGAAAGAAAGAUUAAUACCCGAUAGUAUAGCGAUAAGGCAUCUUAUUGCUAUUAAAGAAUUUCGGUGUUUGAUGGGGAUGCGUUCCAUUAGAUUGUUGGUGAGGUAACGGCUCACCAAGUCUUCGAUGGAUAGGGGGUUCUGAGAGGAAGGUCCCCCACAUUGGAACUGAGACAC